CAUGUAUCACGUUUUCCUCUUUGGUCAUAAAGAGCAACUUUCUUAGGAAGUUGCUAAUUGGCAACUGAAGACCUUCACUUCCAUUUCCUCUCCAUACGUGACCUGGACUCAACCUCUGCACUCCUCAGCUCUGAUUGAUACACAGAAAACUGAACCCAGAUGAAGGGAACUGAACAAGAAUGCAUAAAAUGCACAUAGGCACACACCUCAAAUAUCUACCAGUUGCUUCAGUUCAACA